GAGCUUGCUCAGGAUCUCAGAGGGGCAUUUGAGCUGAUGGAUGGGACCAGUUGACUGUUGUAUAAAGCAUAUGCGGAUUCAUGAAUAUGCAAAUUAGCCCAUCCUCCACUCACCAGCUCACAGAUUCACUCGGCCAACUUACUGAGGCAUGGUGCUGACACACAGCGUAACAGCCGUGAUGGCCACAAACACCACCGAGAGGCAGGCAAAGAUCUUCCCG